rnacentral:tRNA from 1 species
GACCCAGUGGCCUAAUGGAUAAGGUAUCAGCCUCCGGUGGGUUCGAGUCCCAUCUGGGUUGCA